GCACAAGCAGCGGUAGCGUGUGGUUUAAUUCGAUGCUACACGAAGAACCUUACCAGGGUUUGACAUGUAAGUGGUAGUGAUCUGAAAAGUGAACGACCUUCGGGAGCUUACACAGGUGCUGCAUGGCUGUCGUCAGCUCGUGUCGUGAGAUGUUCGGUUAAGUCCGCUAACGAGCGCAACCCUCACUGUGUGUUAUACGUGUCACACGGGACUGCCGGUUUUAAGCCGGAGGAAGGCGAGGAUGACGUCAAGUCAGCAUGGCCUUUAUAUCCUGGGCUACACACACGCUACAAUGGCCUGUACAACAGGUUGCCAAACCGCGAGGUGGAGCCAAUCCCUAAAACAGGCCUCAGUUCAGAUUGCAGGCUGCGACCCGCCUGCAUGAAGCCGGAGUUGCUAGUAACCGCAGGUCAGCUAUACUGCGGUGAAUACGUUCCCGGGUCUU
rnacentral:rRNA from 1 species